GGGCCUAUGGCGCAAUGGUUAGCGCAGAGGACUCAUAAUCCUUUGGUUCACAGUUCGAGUCUGUGUAGGCCCACCA
rnacentral:tRNA from 1 species